GCCUAACACAUGCAAGUCGAGCGGCAGCGAGAGUAGUAGCAAUACUACUUGUCGGCGAGCGGCGGACGGGUGAGGAACACGUAGGAACUUGCCCAGAAGUGGGGGAUAACUAAGGGAAACUUUAGCUAAUACCGCAUAAACUCGAGAGAGAAAAGGUGCCCGCAAGGGUGUCGCUUUUGGAGAGGCCUGCGUCCGAUUAGCUAGUUGGUGAGGUAAUGGCUCACCAAGGCAAUGAUCGGUAACUGGUCUGAGAGGACGACCAGUCACACUGGGACUGAGACACGGCCCAGACUCCUACGGGAGGCAGCAGUGGGGAAUAUUGGACAAUGGGGGCAACCCUGAUCCAGCGAUGCCGCGUGGGUGAAGAAGGCCUUCGGGUUGUAAAGCCCUUUAGGUUGGGAAGAAGCUUGGUAGCCGCAUAAGCGAUCAAGUUGACGGUACCGACAGAAUAAGCACCGGCAAACUCUGUGCCAGCAGCCGCGGUAG
rnacentral:rRNA from 1 species